rnacentral:tRNA from 1 species
UGCUACGUAGCUUAAUAUGGCAAAGCAACUCUUGGCCAGAGUGUCAUGUGGUUCGAAUCCCAUCGUAGCAGCCA